GACGAACCGAGCGAACGUUGUUCGGAAUCACUGGGCUUAAAGGGCGCGUAGGCGGGUACUCAAGUCUGUGGUGAAAUCCUCCGGCUCAACCGGAGAACUGCCAUGGAUACUGGGUGUCUCGAGGGUGGUAGGGGUAUGCGGAACUAUCGGUGGAGCGGUGAAAUGCGUUGAUAUCGAUAGGAACUCCGGUGGCGAAGGCGGCAUACUGGACCACUUCUGACGCUGAGGCGCGAAAGCCAGGGGAGCAAACGGG
rnacentral:rRNA from 1 species